rnacentral:rRNA from 1 species
AUUGAACGCUGGCGGCAUGCUUUACACAUGCAAGUCGAACGGUAACAGGCCGCAAGGUGCUGACGAGUGGCGAACGGGUGAGUAAUGCAUCGGAACGUGCCCAGUCGUGGGGGAUAACGCAGCGAAAGCUGCGCUAAUACAGCAUACGAUCUAUGGAUGAAAGCGGGGGACCGUAAGGCAUCGCGCGAGUGGAGCGGCCGAUGUCAGAUUAGGUAGUUGGUGGGGUAAAGGCUGACCAAGUCAACGAUCGGUAGCUGGUCUGAGAUGACGAGCAGCCACACUGGGACUGAGACACGGCCCAGACUCCUACGGGAGGCAGCAGUGGGGAAUUUUGGACAAUGGGCGCAAGCCUGAUCCAGCAAUGCCGCGUGCAGGAAGAAGGCCUUCGGGUUGUAAACUGCUUUUGUACGGAACGAAACGGCUCUGGUUAAUACCUGGGGAUAAUGACGGUACCGUAAGAAUAAGCACCGGCUAACUACGUGCCAGCCGCCGCGGUAAUAC